rnacentral:rRNA from 1 species
UACGGGGGGUGCGAGCGUUGUCCGGAAUCACUGGGCGUAAAGGGCGCGUAGGUGGUUUGAUAAGGGUGUGGUGAAAGCCCGGGGCUCAACCCCGGGUCUGCCGUGCCGACUGUCAAACUCGAGGGCUGUAGAGGCAGACGGAAUUCCGGGUGUAGCGGUGGAAUGCGCAGAUAUCAGGAGGAACACCGGUGGCGAAGGCGGGUCUCUGGGCCGUAACUGACGCUGAGGAGCGAAAGCGUGGGGAGCGAACAGG